UACAGAGGUCCCAAGCGUUGUUCGGAUUCACUGGGCGUAAAGGGUGCGUAGGUGGUCAGGUAAGUCGGAUGUGAAAUCUCCGAGCUCAACUCGGAAACUGCAUUGGAAACUACCUGGCUCGAGGGUUGGAGGGGGGACUGGAAUGCUUGGUGUAGCAGUGAAAUGCGUAGAUAUCAAGAGGAACACCAGUGGCGAAGGCGAGUCCCUGGACAACACCUGACACUGAGGCACGAAAGCUAGGGGAGCAAACAGG
rnacentral:rRNA from 1 species